rnacentral:rRNA from 1 species
GACGAACGCUGGCGGCGUGCUUAACACAUGCAAGUCGAACGGAAAGGCCCUGCUUGCAGGGUACUCGAGUGGCGAACGGGUGAGUAACACGUGGGUGAUCUGCCCUGCACUUCGGGAUAAGCCUGGGAAACUGGGUCUAAUACCGGAUAGGAGCCAUUUUUAGUGUGAUGGUUGGAAAGUUUUUUCGGUGUAGGAUGAGCUCGCGGCCUAUCAGCUUGUUGGUGGGGUAAUGGCCUACCAAGGCGGCGACGGGUAGCCGGCCUGAGAGGGUGGACGGCCACAUUGGGACUGAGAUACGGCCCAGACUCCUACGGGAGGCAGCAGUGGUGAAUAUUGCACAAUGGGCGCAAGCCUGAUGCAGCGACGCCGCGUGGGGGAUGACGGCCUUCGGGUUGUAAACUCCUUUCGCUAGGGACGAAGCUUUUUGUGACGGUACCUAGAUAAGAAGCACCGGCUAACUACGUG